CUACGGGGUGCUGCAGUGGGGAAUAUUGGACAAUGGGCGAAAGCCUGAUCCAGCCAUGCCGCGUGAGUGAUGAAGGCCCUAGGGUUGUAAAGCUCUUUCGCCAGGGACGAUAAUGACGGUACCUGGAUAAGAAGCCCCGGCUAACUUCGUGCCAGCAGCCGCGGUAAUACGAAGGGGGCUAGCGUUGUUCGGAAUCACUGGGCGUAAAGCGCACGUAGGCGGAUCUUUAAGUCAGGGGUGAAAUCCCGAGGCUCAACCUCGGAACUGCCUUUGAGACUGGAGGUCUCGAGUCCGGGAGAGGUGAGUGGAACUGCGAGUGUAGAGGUGAAAUUCGUAGAUAUUCGCAAGAACACCAGUGGCGAAGGCGGCUCACUGGCCCGGUACUGACGCUGAGGUGCGAAAGCGUGGGGAGCAAACAGGAUUAGAUACCCGAGUAGUC
rnacentral:rRNA from 1 species